GACGAACGCUGGCGGCGUGCUUAACACAUGCAAGUCGAACGGAGAACGAGGGAGCUUGCUCCCUCCAGAUCAGUCGCGAACGGGUGAGUAACACGUGAGCAAUCUGCCCCGAACUCUGGGAUAAGCGUUGGAAACGACGUCUAAUACCGGAUACGACGCGGGUGGGUAUCCUCUCCGCGUGGAAAGAACUUCGGUUCGGGAUGAGCUCGCGGCCUAUCAGCUUGUUGGUGGGGUAGCGGCUCACCAAGGCGACGACGGGUAGCCGGCCUGAGAGGGUGACCGGCCACACUGGGACUGAGACACGGCCCAGACUCCUACGGGAGGCAGCAGUGGGGAAUAUUGCACAAUGGGCGCAAGCCUGAUGCAGCAACGCCGCGUGAGGGACGACGGCCUUCGGGUUGUAAACCUCUUUUGGCAGGGAAGAAGCGAAAGUGACGGUACCUGCAGAAGAAGCACCGGCUAACUACGUG
rnacentral:rRNA from 1 species